CAGCAAUUAAAUCCUACCACACUUUAGAAUGCUGGACUAUUCUGCUGCUUCCCAGAGUUGGAAAGAAAGGAGUUGACUCACAUCUUACCCAUCUCACUCCAGGUCAGCAAUGGCACUGGAGGCAGUGCUGGGGAUACUGAGGAUAUUGCUGUUUUGAGUGGCAUGUGUUUGCUCUGGAGAAAACAAUACAGAGCCUCCCUCGAAUGCAGAGUUAACAGUGGGGUUGUGUUUCUGAUCAACAGAAGCUGCUGGAUUACACCUUGUCCACAGAUAUAAAAAGGUUCCAGAUGGUAUUUCUGGAAGAACUAGGGAUACAACAGAGAACACAACAGAUAAAGUCACCACUCUCAUGUGGCAUAUAUUCCAGCGGGGAGGAGCAGACCGACAGCAGAAUGGGUCAACGUAAGGAACGGCAGAUAACGGCUUCCCAGGAGCAGUCAUUUCUAACCUCUACUACGCAUCAGAGUCAUCCAGAGAGCUUGUUAAAACACAGAUUUCUGCGUCCCACCCUCAGAGUUUGCUGACUGAGAAGGUCUGGGUUGGACCAAAGAAUCUGCAUUUUUUAAAAGUUCCAUGGUCUAGGACCACACUUUGAGAACUGCUGUUCCAAAGAACCACCUGCUUUAUACUCUGGUUUCUCUUCGGAUCAUAUAAAUCUGCCUUUUAAAAAAGCACCUGUUGGAUCUAUGAAACUGAUGCAGCCGGUAGUUUCUCAUUAUGGUCUCAUUACCCUUUACAUUGAAAAAUACAAAGCCACUUCAAUUGCCAUUUCACAGUACAGCCCAUGGCCUGGAACGGGCACAGCUGCCCUCUUUAGGUUGAAAAUAUUUGGCAAAUAAGGAAUGCUGGCAAGAGAGGCUGCAGUUUUGACACCUACACCUUGAUUUGGGAUUCAUUUUUCUCACUCAGGAUUUGGCAAGCGUAUGUCUUCUUUAAAGUGAGACUGAAAAUAAGCUCUGACUCACAAACCUAGCUUAAAACACCACAAAGAGUAAACAACUAUUUCCAUAACUAAUAAUUAUUAAAAUAUGUUUUUGAGUUUUUGCAUAACUUGCCUGUAUAAUGAGAUCUAAGUAUUUACAUGGAAUUUCUACAUUACUGUGUGAAUAAAUUAACAGAACUAAAACCUGCCUCCUGACCUCUAGCCUCUCCCUGAUGUCAGCCUGUGCUCAACCCUG
rnacentral:lncRNA from 10 species